UGCUCGACAUAUCUUCUGCCUGG
rnacentral:piRNA from 1 species